CAGGAAGGGGUCUCUCUGUGGGUCGGAAGUUAGCAGGAAGUGGGGGCAGAAGGAGCCCCUGGAGAAGCGAGAGGUCUGAGAAAGGUAAAGAGGGGCGCCAGUCGACCACGGACCCCCCUUCUCCGCUUUGCAUUGCAAGAAAGGAAAUCGGAAUAGCUACGAAGGGAGGCGGAUGGUCAGAGGAGAAAGAGCAGGUUAUGGAGAAGACAGUGUGUCAUCUGUAAUUUCAUUUGGAAAUAUGAAGAGACUAUUUAAAUGUGGUGAAUGUGGAAUGUGCUUCAGUCCAUGUGCAUAGUUAAUAAACUCACAUCAAUAAACUCACAGAGUGGGGAAACCGUUUAAAGGUAUGGAGUGUGGAAAGAGCGUCAGACACACUUCAUCUCUUACUUUACAUCAUCUAACUCACAUGAGU